rnacentral:tRNA from 2 species
GCAGGUGUGGCGGAAUGGCAGACGCAGCAGACUCAAAAUCUGCCGGUGGCAACAUCGUGCGGGUUCAAGUCCCGCCACCUGCA